rnacentral:rRNA from 1 species
ACGGAGGAUCCAAGCGUUAUCCGGAAUCAUUGGGUUUAAAGGGUCCGUAGGCGGUUUAGUAAGUCAGUGGUGAAAGCCCAUCGCUCAACGGUGGAACGGCCAUUGAUACUGCUAAACUUGAAUUAUUGGGAAGUAACUAGAAUAUGUAGUGUAGCGGUGAAAUGCUUAGAGAUUACAUGGAAUACCAAUUGCGAAGGCAGGUUACUACCAAUGGAUUGACGCUGAUGGACGAAAGCGUGGGUAGCGAACAGGAUUAGAUACCCUGGUAGUCCACGCCGUAAACGAUGGAUACUAGCUGUUGGGGGCAACUUCAGUGGCUAAGCGAAAGUGAUAAGUAUCCCACCUGGGGAGUACGGGCGCAAGCCUG